UUUUGUCACUGCUGCUGAAAUUUUAAAUAUAUAAGCGUUUUAUAAGUAAUAGCAAUAACUGAUGUUUAUUGAGCACUUACUAUGGGCCAAUCCCAAUUGCUUUCUGCUCAGCAGAGGAUUACAAUAAUGCCUAUUUAUCCAGCUCUGUCCAUCCAAGGAUUUUAGAUACAUCAUAAACUCAUCAAUUAAUCAGAGACAUGGCACCCAUUUCAAAAUGCUGGGAGAAUUACAUCCUGGAAGAUUACGAGAAAUGCUCACGUCGACAGAGUAAAUCAAGAACUAUUUCCUGAUGGAUUCCUGAACGGCACACCAAGUACUGAAAUGAAGAGGGCUGUCUCCAGCACUGAUUCACAAAGUAUAUCUCAAGUGGAAGAAAACUUCCGGAAUAAAACGUCACUUUACUUUGAAGCAUCUGUUAAACUUGAAAAAUUAAACUGAGGUAGAAUGGCAAAACUCAAGAGAGCAUUUAUCAAAAUGGCUGUGCAACACCCCUCAUGUCUUAACACUCUUUAGGGACUUAUAUAAGCAACACUUCAUGUUCGAAUGUCAAAAUCCACGUGUAAGGCUUAAAAGUAGUAUGGGAUGCUUAAGAAUGCUUUUCAGGGCCAGUUAUUCUUUGAUAUUUAUCACUUCAUGGUGCUGACACCUGCUUCUAAUUUUAAGAGUUCGUUCUUCCAGUGGAUUUUUUUUUCCUUCAGAAAUCUUAUCC
rnacentral:lncRNA from 1 species